CUACUACAGAAUUGGCCAUUGCCAACGGGCUAUCACCGCCGGUUUAACAUGAACCGGCGGUGAUGAGGUAUCACCGCCGGGUCCCGAGUUGGUGGCCGUAGUGGCCGUUGGAACCGGCGGUGAUGCUGAUUAUCACCGCCGGUUCGUGUUACGAACCGUUGGUGAUGUCCUGCGGGCAUAUCACCGCCGGUUUGUAACACGAACCGGCGGUGAUAAGAAGCAUCACCAACGGUUCGUGUUACAAACCGGCGGUGAUAAGUCUGUACAGUACAAAACCCCAACCCCUCCUUCCUCCUACCACCUUUCUUCUCCAACCCGACGGCCACACCUCUCUCCUCCAUUGUUGCUGCCGGAUUUUGCCGAAAUUCUCAUGAAACCUCACCAUUUUUGAUGUAUUGGCUCCACCAACUUAUUCUAAGGAUAAAUUCUCAUGAACACUCAUCAUGAAGUCAUCAUGGAGGCUCAUUAAAUUUUGAGGACUGGACUUCACAUAUUUGAUUCAAGAUGAAUCGAGGUUGGAUGUAUGGUACAAAGGCUGGAAAUUUGGAUUUUGUCAAUGGUGUGGACUCGUUUGUGCAGACUGCCAAGGCACACAAGAAUCUACAAGAUGAUGGCUACGUGUAUUGCCCAUGCAUUGAUUGCAAAAAUCAGAAGCAGUUUGGCAAUGUUGAGCAGAUCCGC